rnacentral:rRNA from 1 species
GACAACAGCCAUUCCAUGUUGAAAACACUAGUUCUCGUCCGCUCACUGAAGUUAAGCAAAAUCGGGCGCGUUUUGUACUUGGAUGGAUGACUGCUUGGGAACACCGCGUGCUGUUGUCA